rnacentral:rRNA from 1 species
AUUGAACGCUGGCGGCAGGCUUAACACAUGCAAGUCGAGCGGGCGAGGUUGCUUCGGUAACUGAGCUAGCGGCGGACGGGUGAGUAAUGUCUGGGAAACUGCCUGAUGGAGGGGGAUAACUACUGGAAACGGUAGCUAAUACCGCAUAACGUCGCAAGAACAAAGAGGGGGACCUUCGGGCCUCUUGCCAUCGGAUGUGCCCAGAUGGGAUUAGCUAGUUGGUGGGGUAACGGCUCACCAAGGCGACGAUCCCUAGCUGGUCUGAGAGGAUGACCAGCCACACUGGAACUGAGACACGGUCCAGACUCCUACGGGAGGCAGCAGUGGGGAAUAUUGCACAAUGGGCGCAAGCCUGAUGCAGCCAUGCCGCGUGUAUGAAGAAGGCCUUCGGGUUGUAAAGUACUUUCAGCGGGGAGGAAGGGAGUAAAGUUAAUACCUUUGCUCAUUGACGUUACCCGCAGAAGAAGCACCGGCUAACUCCGUGCCAGCCGCCGCAGUAA